rnacentral:misc_RNA from 1 species
AGAUUUUUUUUUUUUUUUUUGCCUAAGUUUAUUUCAUGAUUGAAUACAUAAACCUCUGUUUCCAAGAGUCGGUGAUAGCAAACAAUUAAUAUAUGUAACUACUGCAAAGAAAGAGGUUGAUCCUCGAAGGCCAAAUCAGAGUUUAACCAGUAAACUACACCAAUGUAUUGUGCCAUUUCAAUAUGACUUGACUCACUUAUACCAUAUCACACCAAAGUAAACUUGAAUUGAACCGCAUACCUUCAGGUUGAGCUCAAAUAGAAAUGACCCACAUUCAAAGUGAGGAUAAAUGAGCUAGAAGCAGCUUUGCCAACUUCAACAUUUAAGUGAAGUAUGUAGCUUACUCUAAUGAAUGCAAGGAUAAGUUUUUACCAUGUUGCAAGAUGUAACUGGUAGCUGCUGUUCCAAACACCCCUGCCAGUACUCCAGCAGUAUUGGAUAGACCAAGCAAAACUCCCUGAAACAUAAUCAUAAGCAAAACAAAAACCAUUAAUUUUCCCCCCUAAAAGGAAGCAGCACUUGAAUGCAACAACAGAAAGUAAUUGAUCAGUGUCAAUUCUCAAUUACCAUUUGAAAGAGAGCCUGUGAUGGAUUAUUGAUGAGCAAUAAUUCAAGCAAUGUAACCCCCAGUCUCCAUACUAUUUAUGUGUAGAUACCAGUCUCCAUAAAAAAGGAAGAAAGAAAUUUCAAAGUAGAAGUUUCCUUUACAAAGUUGGGACCAAUUAAAUAUGUAUCCAGUGAAGUCACUUGCAUAAAACUUACAAAACAGUAGAGGGAGCAAAUACUGUGAAACACUAAAAAAAGUACACAAAAUACAAUUAAAUUCAAGCUCAUUUUAGAACAAAAACUUUACAUUCCAAGCAAGAACUGAAG